rnacentral:rRNA from 1 species
UACGGAGGUGGCAAGCGUUGCUCGGAAUUACUGGGCGUAAAGGGCGUGUAGGCGGAUUGGCAAGUCAAGCGUGAAAUCCCCCGGCUCAACCGGGGAAUUGCGUUCGAAACUGCCUCUCUUGAGUGUGGAAGGGGAGAGUGGAACUCCUGGUGGAGCGGUGAAAUGCGUAGAUAUCAGGAGGAACACCAAUGGCGAAGGCAGCUUACUGGACAAUAACUGACGCUGAGGCACGAAAGCGUGGGUAGCGAAAGGG